GACGAACCGUGCAAACGUUAUUCGGAAUCACUGGGCAUAAAGGGCGCGUAGGCGGCUUUCUAAGUCAGGGGUGAAAUCCGGCAGCUCAACUGUCGCAGUGCCUUUGAUACUGGAGAGCUCGAGGGAGGUAGGGGUCUGUGGAACUUCCGGUGGAGCGGUGAAAUGCGUUGAUAUCGGAAGGAACGCCGGUGGCGAAAGCGACGGACUGGAUCUCUUCUGACGCUGAGGCGCGAAGGUCAGGGGAGCAAACGGG
rnacentral:rRNA from 1 species